rnacentral:rRNA from 1 species
CAGUCGCCGCGGUAAUACGUAGGGUGCAAGCGUUAAUCGGAAUUACUGGGCGUAAAGCGUGCGCAGGCGGUUAUAUAAGUCAGAUGUGAAAUCCCCGGGCUCAACCUGGGAACUGCAUUUGAGACUGUAUGGCUAGAGUGUGUCAGAGGGGGGUAGAAUUCCACGUGUAGCAGUGAAAUGCGUAGAUAUGUAGAGGAAUACCGAUGGCGAAGGCAGCCCCCUGGGAUAACACUGACGCUCAUGCACGAAAGCGUGGGGAGCAAACAGGAUUAGAUACCCCAGUAGUCCCUGUCUCUUAUAC